rnacentral:lncRNA from 1 species
UUGCCCCACAAAUGACAGCUUGAUCUAUUUUUUCUUGAAGACACGAUUUACAGACUGGAUAAGACUCGAAAGUCAAUGAUCUAAGAAGACCAUCUUUCUCCAGUUUGAUGAGUCUGUCUUCUCCAAUAUGGUCUAGCCUAAGGUGCCACAGAUACUUUUGGCUGAUCCUAUCUCUAGAUCUCUUAGAUCCUAUGAUAUUUACUAUUUGCUCGUUAAUGUUUACACUUGCAUCCGUA